GAGGAAGGCCCACUAGAAGGAUGUUGGAAUGGAGACCUAGUACCCAACAGAGUUGGAAGAUUAUGUUUCUUUUUUCACAAGAUUUCUAUAAGACUGCCUUCAUUCAUUUAAAGUUCCAGGGACUUCCCUGGGGGCACAAUGGUUAAGAAUCCGCCUGGCAAUUCAGGGGACACGGGUUUCAGCCCUGGUCCGGGAAGAUCCCACAUGCUGCAGAGCAGCUAAGCCUGUGUGCCACAACUACUGAGCCUGUGCUCUAGAGCCUGCGAGCCACAACUACUGAGCCCACAUGCCACAACUACUGAAGCCCACACGUCUUGAGCCAGUGCUCUGCAAUGGGACAAGCCACCAAAAUGAGAAGCCUGUGCACCGCAACAAGGAGUGGCCCCGACUCGCUGCACCUAGAGAAAGCCUGCGUGCAGCAACAAAGACCCAAUGCAAACAAACAAAAAAUUUCCAGGUUCAGAGAAAGAUAAAGGAGAUUUCCAGAGGUAAUAUAAAAAUCUCUUCUGGUUAAGAAUUUUCAGUGAACCUCUACACUGUACCACCAAAUUGCCAGCCUGGGGAUGAAAAUCAUGUCUUGAUAUAAGGCAGCUGAAACAUCCAUAGAAAACCUACUAGCUUCAUGACCAGAGGAAUAAGAGGACAGAACUUACGGCAGCUAUAGCUGAAGGAAAGUGAGAGGGUCAUCCCAGAAAGGAGAGAGCCAGAAAAUGGAAACCCCAGUGGAACCACUCAGCUGGCGGGAUCUUAGUUCCCUGACCAGGGAUCGAAUCUGGACCCCAUGCAGUGGAAAUGCAGAGUCCUAACCAUUGGACUGGCAGGGAAUUCCCAUCAUAGAUUUUAUUUUUGUUUUCUUAUUUGAAAGGAACACAUAUAAUCAGCUGAUGACACUGAAACAGAUGUGGAAGGACAACUUACUAGGAAAACUGUACCAGCGGGAUCCUCUAAAGAGAAUUGGAUCUCCUAAAUG